rnacentral:rRNA from 1 species
GAUGAACGCUAGCGGCAGGCCUAAUACAUGCAAGUCGAACGGUGGUAGCAAUACCAUAGUGGCGCACGGGUGCGUAACGCGUAACCAACCUGCCCGAAACUGGGGGAUAGCCCGCCGAAAGGCGGAUUAAUACCGCAUAUACUCGCAGCCUGGCAUCAGGUAACGAGGAAAGAUUUAUUGGUUUCGGAUGGGGUGGCGUGACAUUAGCUAGUUGGCGGGGUAACGGCCCACCAAGGCGACGAUGUCUAGGGGACCUGAGAGGGUGAUCCCCCACACUGGCACUGAGAUACGGGCCAGACUCCUACGGGAGGCAGCAGUAGGGAAUAUUGGGCAAUGGACGAGAGUCUGACCCAGCCAUGCCGCGUGCCGGAUGAAGGCCUUCUGGGUUGUAAACGGCUUUUCUCAGGGAAGAAAACGGGUAUGCGUACCACACUGACGGUACCUGAGGAAUAAGCACCGGCUAACUCCGUGCCAGCAGCCGCCGUAACAC